CAGCCGCCGCGGGAAUACGAAGGGUGCAAGCGUUAAUCGGAAUUACUGGGCGUAAAGCGUGCGUAGGCGGUGAGUUAAGUCUGCUGUGAAAUCCCCGGGCUCAACCUGGGAAUGGCAGUGGAUACUGGCUCGCUAGAGUGUGUCAGAGGAUGGUGGAAUUCCCGGUGUAGCGGUGAAAUGCGUAGAGAUCGGGAGGAACAUCAGUGGCGAAGGCGGCCAUCUGGGACAACACUGACGCUGAGGCACGAAAGCGUGGGGAGCAAACAGGAUUAGAGACCCCCGUAGUCCCUGUCUCUUAUAC
rnacentral:rRNA from 1 species